rnacentral:rRNA from 1 species
GACGAACGCUGGCGGCGUGCUUAACACAUGCGAGUCGAACGCUGAAGCUCAGCUUUUGUUGGGUGGAUGAGUGGCGAACGGGUGAGUAACACGUGAGUAACCUGCCUCCUUCUUUGGGAUAACGCCCGGAAACGGGUGCUAAUACAGGAUAUACACUGGUCUUCGCAUGGGGGUAGGUGGAAAGGGUGUUUCUGGUGGGGGAUGGGCUCGCGGCCGAUCGGCUUGGUAGUGGGGUGACGGCCUACCAAGGCUUUGACGGGUAGCCGGCCUGAGAGGGUGACCGGUAACGUUGGGACUGACCACCGUCCCAGGGUGGUACGGGGGGGGGAAGUGGGGAAAAUUGCGCAAUGCGCGCCAGACUGAUGCCGCGGCGUCGAGUGAGGGCUGGGGGCCUUAGGGUUGUGAACCUCUUUAGCACAUGGUCGAGCCGGAACAGUGCUUGUGGUGACGGUAGUGGGUCAAGAAGCGCCGGCUAACUACGUG